CAGUAGCCGCGGGAAUACGAAGGUCCCGAGCGUUGUUCGGAAUCACUGGGCGUAAAGGGAGCGUAGGCGGCGUGGUAAGUCAGAUGUGAAAUCCCGGGGCUCAACCCCGGAACUGCAUCCGAUACUGCCGUGCUAGAGGAUUGGAGAGGUAGCUGGAAUUCUUGGUGUAGCAGUGAAAUGCGUGGAGAUCAAGAGGAACACUCGUGGCGAAAGCGAGCUACUGGACAGUAUCUGACGCUGAGGCUCGAAGGCCAGGGUAGCGAAAGGGAUUAGAUACCCGUGUAGUCCCUGUCUCUUAUAC
rnacentral:rRNA from 1 species